rnacentral:misc_RNA from 1 species
GGGAGACGGGCACAGGAAGUCAAUACAAGACAACUACUUGCAGAUGUUAAAAAGAUUCCAAGUAGCAAGGAACUCAGAAUCUGAAAAUGGAUAAUCUUUACUCUAUGUCCUCUGAAGAACCAGAGAGAUAACAACGUCAAGGAUCAAACACCAACGUUUGAGAAAACAGAGAGAGAAAGAAAACUACCCAAUACCUCAAAAAGGACUUUGCUUUACCUAUGGAGACAGACCAAGACAGAUAGGCACACCCAAGCAAGAAAAUUUAUU